rnacentral:rRNA from 1 species
UACAGAGGGUGCGAGCGUUAAUCGGAAUUACUGGGCGUAAAGCGUGCGUAGGUGGUUUGUUAAGUCUGUUGUGAAAGCCCCGGGCUCAACCUGGGAAUGGCAAUGGAUACUGGCAAGCUAGAGUGCGGUAGAGGGUAGUGGAAUUCCCGGUGUAGCGGUGAAAUGCGUAGAGAUCGGGAGGAACACCAGUGGCGAAGGCGGGUCUCUGGACAGUUCCUGACGCUGAGGCACGAAGGUCAGGGGAGCAAACGGG